AAAUCACGCAAAGCACGCCCUCAUCUAACGCCUUCGAUUUCCCUCCCGAAUCCCCCUUCCUCUCUCCCUCAAACCUCAAUCGCCGCCGCCCCGGCACCUCGCCGGCCACCGCAGCUCCGGCUCCUCCUCCCCAACCCACCCCCUCCUCUCCAUCCAGAACCCCCAACGGCGGCCGCAUCCCCCCACCACCCACGCGAUCUCUUCCCCUCGAUCCUCGCCGGCGCAUGCGACCCACCUCCGCGCCGUCAAGAACCGGCGACCUCCACCCUCGAGGUCAACUCGAUCUCCGCCGUCCUCUGGGGAUCCUUCACCGUGCGGAUUCCGACCCUCGGCGCCGCGCUCCGGGAAGACGUACAUCCCCUGGGCACGCCUCCAUCGGCGAGCUCCUGCCACGGCGCCCAUCCGGAGCACGAAGGCCGCUUUAGUUCACCCAGCCACCGCGCCGCUAUCCUACUCCGAAGACCUGCUACUGACCGGACCACUGCCGGCAGCCUCCACAAGCUGGCGAGCCCUAGGAGAAGCUUGGGACAGAUGGAUUGAUGGUGGUGCAGCUCGAGGAGGCGGCGGCGGGUUCGCGAGGGGCGACGGCUUGCUCGGACGAACGGAUACUGCUACGGCUUGCUAUUAGGAAGGUUGCACUAGCUGUUUGUGUUACUGCAUUAGGGAAAGGCAUCCCAUAUGUGUAUUAGACUACCUCAGACUCAGAGAAAGUUACUUGGCAAGGAGUGUGGUGAAGGGCACAAUAUAUCCUGAGCGGCACACUACAAUUUUGUUUGAGGAUUGAGGAAGCAUUCAACAAUUAUAGUGCAAGGAUAGAUAUACCAUCUGAUUGAGCCAACUCAGCAGACACUCACGAUGAUUGUUUCUUGAGUGGGAGGAGAUUCUGAAACAAGUACAUAAAUGCUUACAGGGACGUUUAGUAGAUCCACUGAAGCAGAACAACAUUUUUGGGCGCAAUGUCAGCAAAGGUAGUGGACGGAUGUACAUAUGAGAUGCCAACGGAGCCAUGUUCUUGGACCUGCGGUGCUUGGUAGCCGGCUGGGAUGUACGCUGCGCCGGAGGAUCGGCUGGCUAACAACGGUUGGUGGUGAGAGAGAAGGAAGGGGAGAGAUGUACGCGGGCCUGCACUGAUGCAGCGGCGGCAGCAGCAACAGUGAGGGUAAAAUGUAGCCGCGGGGUGGUGGCUUGGAGAAAAGGAGCUAGACUAGCUGUGUGUUGGUUCAGGUUUUGUUCCGGCUGGACUAGCGAAGAUGCUAGUUGUGUGUGUGGUGUAUCAUUCAGGUUCUAGCUAAAGUGUGGACAAGAUGCAUCUGGCCAAAAUUUUCCACCAAUGCUGCUGUACAUGCUAGCUAGCUAGGUGUUGUUUCAUGUCCAGUCGCUUGGCUUGCUGCAGCUGUCGUGUAUACUGUAGUUUCGCUGGUGGCCAAGCAAUAUCUUGUGCUAAGUUCUUUAUAUGUAUUUAAAUGCCUUGAGGAUGUUAUGUGCUGUGAAUGUACGGAAAACAAUUUAUCAAAAAUCACUAAAUUGAGCUUAGCUAGUACA